CCUACGGGUGGCACCAGUGGGGGAUAUUGCACAAUGGAGGAAACUCUGAUGCAGCGACGCCGCGUGAGUGAAGAAGGCCUUCGGGUCGUAAAGCUCUGUCCUAGGGGAAGAUAAUGACGGUACCCUAGGAGGAAGCCCCGGCUAACUACGUGCCAGCAGCCGCGGUAAUACGUAGGGGGCGAGCGUUGUCCGGAAUUACUGGGCGUAAAGAGUUCGUAGGCGGUCUGAUAAGUCAGAUGUGAAAGGCGUAGGCUUAACCUAUGUAAGCAUAUGAAACUGUCAGACUUGAGGUAAGGAGAGGAAAGUGGAAUUCCUAGUGUAGCGGUGAAAUGCGUAGAUAUUAGGAGGAAUACCAGUGGCGAAGGCGACUUUCUGGACUUAAACUGACGCUGAGGAACGAAAGCGUGGGGAGCAAACAGGAUUAGAUACCCUGGUAGUC
rnacentral:rRNA from 1 species